rnacentral:rRNA from 1 species
CACGCCGUAAACGAUGUCUACCAGUCGUUGGGUCUUUUAAAGACUUAGUGACGCAGUUAACGCAAUAAGUAGACCGCCUGGGGAGUACGGCCGCAAGGUUAAAACUCAAAUGAAUUGACGGGGGCCCGCACAAGCGGUGGAGCAUGUGGUUUAAUUCGAUGCAACGCGAAGAACCUUACCUGGUCUUGACAUAGUGAGAAUCUUGCAGAGAUGCGAGAGUGCCUUCGGGAAUUCACAUACAGGUGC